rnacentral:piRNA from 1 species
UUCUCCUCCUUUAAGAAUAUA